ACGAACGCUGGCGGCGUGCUUAACACAUGCAAGUCAACGAGAAAAGAUAGCAAUAUCUUGAGUAAAGUGGCGCACGGGUGCGUAACGCGUAAGCAAUCUACCCUUAGAUUUGGAAUAACUCGUCGAAAGACGUGCUAAUACCGUAUAAUGCAGCGGCACCGCAUGGUGAUGUUGUUAAAGUUUAUAAGAUGUCUAAGGAUGAGCUUGCGUCCGAUUAGCUAGUUGGUGAGGUAACGGCUCACCAAGGCAACGAUCGGUAGCUG
rnacentral:rRNA from 1 species